rnacentral:lncRNA from 1 species
GAGCGGGGGUCAACUGUCCUCCCUGUACCAAAAGAGGCCAACGUCAUGACAGUAGCGUUCCACAUAAUUUUUAGAAAGUGAAACUUUAGAAAAUACAAAACAAAAUAAAGAAUAAACAAACCGCGACCAACAAUACUAUACAUAAACAAUAUCCCAUAACCCCCAAGUGAAAAACAAGCUACUUAAGUAUUAUCCCAAAUUAGAGACAACGAUUACCAGCUGCCUCUAAUUGGGAAUCAUACCAAUCACCCAAACUUAGAAAAACUAAAUUAGAACCCCACAUAGAAUAUAACAACUAGAAAAAAAACCUGUCACGCCCUGACCUACUCUACCAUAGAAAAUAAAAUCUUUCUAUGGUCAGGACGUGACACAGAGUCAGAGUGCUGGUAAGUCUCAUGUCUACUGAUUUGAGCUAAAAUAUGGUGUAGAUUUUAGUUUCUCAGAAAACUACAGGAAGUGAUGCAACACUUGAGGUUUUGGUCUCCUCCUUUAUCACACAUUUAUUUUCUGUCUGUCUGUCUGCCUUCUAGCCUGUCUGUUUGUCUUCCUGCCUUACUGAGAAACCAACUGAUCGAAUGAACGUUGUAAUUAAUGCUAUAAUUCAUGUUAUCUAUAAUAUAUACAGUACUCUGUAAAGUAUCUCCUCCUGUCUGUGGUCAGGUCUGAUGGUAUCUAUGAUAUAUACAGUACUCUGUAAAGUCUCUCCUCCUGUCUGUGGUCAGGUCUGAUGGUAUCUAUGAUAUAAACAGUACUCUGUAAAGGCUCUCCUCCUGUCUGUGGUCAGGUCUGAUGGUAUCUAUGAUAUAUACAGUACUCUGUAAAGUCUCUCCUCCUGUCUGUGGUCAGGUCUGAUGGUAUCUAUGAUAAAUACAGUACUCUGUAAAGUCUCUCCUCCUGUCUGUGGUCAGGUCUGAUGGUAUCUAUGAUAUAUACAGUACUCUGUAAAGUCUCUCCUCCUGUCUGUGAUCAGGUCUGAUGGUAUCUAUGAUAUAUACAGUACUCUGUAAAGUCUCUCCUCCUGUCUGUGAUCAGGUCUG